GAUAAGCGUCUCUGCAGCGGCGACCAGAUCCUGCGGAUCGGAGACACUGACCUUCUGGGGAUGAACAGUGAGCAGGUGGCCCAGGUAAGAUGGUACUCUUUUGGAAAUGGUUCCUAUUUGCUUUAAGUUCAAACCAACUUGCGUCUCUUAAUGGCAUUUGUUUCCUUUGAUUUGUAAAGGCUACCGGCUCGCUCUUUUAACAAAUUGUGGAGGAAGCCAUUCUGCAUAUCUACUCUGUAUGCCAUAGCUUCUCGGUGGCAGCUGUCUAGUUAGAGUGUCUAACUCUAAUGCAAUCCCUUUGUAUUCUGUCUCAUGCCACCACCUGGCCCAGGUGCUGCGCAACGCUGGCAGCCAAGUGAAGCUGCUGAUCGCCAGAGACGACGCCAAGGAUAACCACCUCUCCUCCCCUGUCCUCUGCCCACGCGGGGCCGACGCCACGGUGGGUUUACCAUCCAUCCUUGGCUCGUUAUUUACAUGGCAUUUGGACGGGUUUGCGUACAUCGGGCCGCAAGUUCUGAAUUAAAGAGACGUUGACGUUUGAUUUUACACUUUUAAAUUUCACGUUCUGAGAAGUGGGAGAUCUUGGCCUGUACACUUCCUUGCUUUAGAUCACAUUGUAUAUUGUAAAGAUGAUCUAAACUACGUAGAAUUAUGUUUUGUUUCCAGCUCAGUGACUCAGAGGAGGACUAUGAGUUCAGCGUGCAGUUCACUAAAAACUCUCUGGGACUGGGAUUCACCAUCACAAGCUACAUAGGCGACCUAAACGCAGUUUACAGUGCAGGUGUGACAGUGAAGAGCGUAGUGAAGGGCAGCACUGUGGACCAAGAUGGCCGCCUUCACAUCGAGGACAUCAUCCUCGAAGUAAGGACGGAAAUUUGCUCGCUCUUUGCUUCUCUCACAAUUUCUGUGUAUGUGUUUCUGUAAUAGUCUAAAUGUUUCAAUAUCCUAAAAAACCUGCAUUGCUUGCAACUUUAGAAGUGUUUUCAUCUGUACCAAUUAUGUUCCUUUGAGCUGAUGAGGAUAAUUCUUUAGCUUAGGUUUCUUUUCAUUCCCUAGACCUGCGCCUAUCUGCCCUUUGUACCAAUUCAUCGUGUGUUGCUCCUUUUUAUCUGAUGAUUACUAUUGAUCGUCUCUUUUCUUCACAUUCAUAUUAUCUUUCUCAAUACGCUCCACUUCUAUCUUUUACGCCCUUCCCCUCCAAACUGCUCUCCUCUUAUCAUCAACCCUUGGACAAAUUCCCUUUUUUGUCCUUGUUCCCUCUGCCUGAAUCUUUCCUCCGGUGAAUCUCAUCCCUACACUCUGGCCACCGCCAUCUGUUCUCCUCCCUCCCUCCCUCUAAACCUACCUCUACCUCGUCUCUCCCUGUCAACUUGGACAAAACUUUUCUCUAUCCAUUAUU
rnacentral:lncRNA from 1 species